rnacentral:sRNA from 1 species
CUAUGUAAUACUAUAAGCGUUUUAGUUUUUAAAAUUGUAAUGCUUUCUGUUGCUAAUGUAUUGAUCAAAAACUGAUCAACCUAUGAGUAGUACUUUGAGGUUGUAUGUGUUUGAUUUUGUCUCCUCCUGCAGUGAAUUGAUUUUUCUUAAGCAGAUUGAUUAGAUGGAGCUGCCUUGAUUUACACAUCAGUGAAAGAAGAGAAAAACCUCGACUUGUUGUAUAAGUAUAUUGUUCAUAAAACAUACGGUUUCCACUUCACCACACCUGCCUUAGUUGUGGAAAAGGAUGCCGUUUUUAUACCUGCAGGCUGGGACAAUGAAAAGAAAAUAGCUAUUUUACACGAAAAUUUUACAACCGUGAAGCCGGAAGAUGCAUAUGAAGACUUUAUUGUGAAACCUCCCGUGAGAAAGCUGGUCCACGACAAAGAGUUGGCAGCAGAAGAUGAGCAGGUGUUCCUAAUGAAGCAACAGUCACUCCUUGCCAAGCAACCAGCCACGCCCACGAGAGCUUCUGAAUCUCCUGCAAGAGGACCCUCUGGCUCUCCAAGGACCCAGGGUCGGGGAGGGCCAGCCAGUGUGCCUAGCUCCUCCCCAGGCACGUCAGUAAAAAAGCCGGACCCAAACAUCAAAAAUAAUGCAGCAAGUGAAGGGGUGUUGGCCAGCUUCUUCAACAGUCUGUUGAGUAAAAAGACAGGCUCUCCUGGAAGUCCUGGUGCUGGUGGGGUGC